rnacentral:rRNA from 1 species
GACGAACGCUGGCGGCGUGCUUAACACAUGCAAGUCGAACGAUGAACCUCGAAAUGACAUCUUCGGAAGGAUUUUUGAGAGGAUUAGUGGCGAACGGGUGAGUAACGCGUGAGCAACCUGCCUUAGACAAGGGGAUAGCCUCGGGAAACCGUGAUUAAUACCCUAUGAGACUCCACUUACGAGUGUAAGAGAAGUUAAAGCUAUUGCGGUCUAAGAUGGGCUCGCGUCUGAUUAGCUAGUUGGUGAGAUAAAAGCCCACCAAGGCGACGAUCAGUAACCGGCUUGAGAGAGUGAACGGUCACAUUGGAACUGAGACACGGUCCAAACUCCUACGGGAGGCAGCAGUGGAGAAUAUUGCACAAUGGGGGGGGAACCCUGAUGCAGCGACGCCGCGUGAGCGAUGAAGGAAUUCGUUUCGUAAAGCUCUGUCCUUGGAGAAGAUAAUGACGGUAACCAAGGAGGAAGCACCGGCUAAAUACGUG